rnacentral:rRNA from 1 species
GCCUACGGGAGGCAGCAGUGGGGAAUAUUGCACAAUGGAGGGAACCCUGAUGCAGCGACGCCGCGUGAGUGAAGAAGUAUUUCGGUAUGUAAAGCUCUAUCAGCAGGGGAGAUAAUGACGGUACCUGACUAAGAAGCCCCGGCUAACUACGUGCCAGCAGCCGCGGUAAUACGUAGGUGGCAAGCGUUGUCCGGAUUUACUGGGUGUAAAGGGCGUGCAGCCGGGUUUAUAAGUCAGAUGUGAAAUCCCGCGGCUCAACCGCGGAACUGCAUUUGAAACUGUAGAUCUUGAGUACUGGAGAGGCA